rnacentral:lncRNA from 1 species
GGUCUCAAACGUCUGGGCUCGAGCAAUCUACCUGCCUUGGCCUCCCAAAAUGCUGGGAUUACAGACAUGAACCACUGUUCCUGACAGUGGUUUUGGUCUUAAUUCUUGCUUGCAGACCUGGGAAUUUUUUGUUUUCUACUGUACAAACUUAACUUUUCGGAGACAGAGCCUACUUGAAGGAAGGCAGGCUAACAAGAAGGGAGAUACAAGAUGAUUUUAGUAAAGAGUCCUUUACUAAGGACUUUACUGGAACAGAUUGUGACGUAAGCAGCAAGAUAUCCUAUCAAGUAGAAGAACCAUAUUUACAUUCUUAUAAUUUUCUUUAUCAAAUGUGUUGUUAGUCUGCAGUUUUCAUUGUAUUAAAUAACUCAUCUAGCCUAACAAAUUUUUGUUAUUGCAAAGAUACACUUUAGCUAAUUCUUUAAACUUCAGGAUUGCAGGAGGCCUCUAGUCUGUCAGGUCAAUGAGAAUAAACAACAUUAUGAACAUGCUUAGGUGACUAUUUUGUUUAAUGAGUUUUAUUGAAGGAUAUCUAGAUUCACAUACUGAAAGCCCUAGGUUAUAUGUAGAAUUACCUUUAACCAGCAACUCCAACCAUGUUUAUAGGUUUUAUGUCUACCAAACUCAAGAUAAAUGUAAGAGGUAGGCCUUGUCUUAGAGGACUAUUGUAGCUAUUAAAAUAAUUAAGUACCCGUUUUCAUAUUGUAUGGAGGUGGAGAUGUUUAAAGAGUUGGUGUGUGUUCAUUAUGUGGUGUUUAGUGGGCCAAGGAGGCUUUGCACAGUGUCCUUGGCAUUAAGUUGUCAAAAUUUGGGUGAAAUUUUAGGAAGGAUGGUUGAUGGCCAUCAUAGGAUCUUUGAUCAUCUAUCAUUAAGCAUGGCAAAACCUUGGAAAUGUCUUUUCUUAAUUUUUUGAUGGUGGAAAAUAAGACAGUGGAUUCAGUUAAUCACUUGAAGGAAAUAUUGUAGUUCACGGUAGUGUGAGCAUAUCAGCUCCUGUUACUUCUGGGGAUUCUCUUAUAGUUGGGUAGGUUGGUUCUGAUUUUUUCCUGUUAUUAAAACCGUGUAAUGAAUAUAAAACUUUGCAUUUCUGAAUUUUCUAAGAAUAAAUGUUCAGAAAUGGUGUUUUCUUCAGAGGAUAUGCACUUUUUAAAGGUUUUGUUUUGUAUUUCUGAUUGUUUUUUAAAAAGAGUAUAUCAGGCUGGGCGCGGUAGCUC